rnacentral:rRNA from 1 species
UAGCAUAUCAAUAAGCGGAGGAAAAGAAACCAACGGGAAUUGCCCUAGUAACGGCGAGUGAAGCGGCAACAGCUCAAAUUUGAAAUCUGGCUCUUUCAGAGUCCGAGUUGUAAUUUGCAGAGGGCGCUUUGGCUUUGGCAGCGGUCCAAGUUCCUUGGAACAGGACGUCACAGAGGGUGAGAAUCCCGUACGUGGUCGCUAGCUAUUGCCGUGUAAAGCCCCUUCGACGAGUCGAGUUGUUUGGGAAUGCAGCUCUAAAUGGGAGGUAAAUUUCUUCUAAAGCUAAAUAUUGGCCAGAGACCGAUAGCGCACAAGUAGAGUGAUCGAAAGAUGAAAAGCACUUUGGAAAGAGAGUCAAACAGCACGUGAAAUUGUUGAAAGGGAAGCGCUUGCAGCCAGACUUGCUUGCAGUUGCUCAUCCGGGCUUUUGCCCGGUGCACUCUUCUGUAGGCAGGCCAGCAUCAGUUUGGGCGGUGGGAUAAAGGUCUCUGUCACGUACCUCUCUUCGGGGAGGCCUUAUAGGGGAGACGACAUACCACCAGCCUAGACUGAGGUCCGCGCAUCUGCUAGGAUGCUGGCGUAAUGGCUGUAAGCGGCCCGUCUUGAAACACGGACCAAGGAGUCUAACAUCUAUGCGAGUGUUUGGGUGUCAAGCCCGAGCGCGUAAUGAAAGUGAACGGAGGUGGGAACCCGCAAGGGUGCACCAUCGACCGAUCCUGAAGUUUACGGAAGGAUUUGAGUAAGAGCAUGGCUGUUGGGACCCGAAAGAUGGUGAACUAUGCUUGAAUAGGGUGAAGCCAGAGGAAACUCUGGUGGAGGCUCGCAGCGGUUCUGACGUGCAAAUCGAUCGUCAAAUUUGGGCAUAGGGGCGAAAGACUAAUCGAACUAUCUAGUAGCUGGUUCCU